rnacentral:rRNA from 1 species
UACAGAGGGUGCAAGCGUUAAUCGGAAUUACUGGGCGUAAAGCGUGCGUAGACGGUUAUGUAAGUCAGGUGUGAAAGCCCCGGGCUCAACCUGGGAACUGCACUUGAAACUGGUCGCCUUGAGUGUUGGAGAGGGAAGCGGAAUUCCUGGUGUAGAGGUGAAAUUCGUAGAUAUCAGGAGGAACACCGGUGGCGAAGGCGGCUUCCUGGACAAUUACUGACGCUGAGACGCGAAAGCGUGGGGAGCAAACAGG